UACGUAGGGAGCAAGCGUUGUCCGGAUUUACUGGGCGUAAAGAGCGUGUAGGCGGCCAAACAGGUCCGUUGUGAAAACUGGAGGCUUAACCUCCAGACGUCGACGGAAACCGUGUGGCUAGAGUCCGGAAGAGGAGAGUGGAAUUCCUGGUGUAGCGGUGAAAUGCGCAGAUAUCAGGAAGAACACCAAUGGCGAAGGCAGCUCUCUGGGACGGUACUGACGCUGAGACGCGAAAGCGUGGGGAGCGAACAGG
rnacentral:rRNA from 1 species